UACGUCCACACCUUUUAGGUGUGGAUCAGUUGACUGUCAUACUUCCAAGAAAAGCUCGAACUACUGUAAAGCAUCACGUACCUGUACCGUAAACCGACACAGGUGGGUUGGUAGAGUAUACCAAGGGGCGCGAGAUAACUCUCUCUAAGGAACUCGGCAAAAUGACCCCGUAACUUCGGGAGAAGGGGUGCCAAGUAACUCAAAUUGCUUGGUCGCAGUGACCAGGCCCUGGCGACUGUUUAUCAAAAACACAGGUCUCCGCAAAGUCGUAAGACAACAUAUGGGGGCUGACGCCUGCCCAGUGCCGGAAGGUUAAAGAAGUUGGUUAUUCACUCGUGGAGAAGCUGACGACUGAAGCCCCGGUGAACGGCGGCCGUAACGAUAACGGUCCUAAGGUAGCGAAAUUCCUUGUCGGGUAAGUUCCGACCCGCACGAAAGGCGUAACGAUCAGGGCACUGUCUCGGAGAGAGACUCGGUGAAAUAGACAUGUCUGUGAAGAUGCGGACUACCUGCACCUGGACAGAAAGACCCUAUGAAGCUUGACUGUAGCCUGGAAUUGGGUUCGGGCUCUUCUUGCGCAGCCUAGGUGGGAGGCGUUGAAGGCUUUCUUUUGGGGAAGCUGGAGCCAUCAGUGAGAGACCACUCUGGAGGAGCUAGAAUUCUAAUGGCGUUCCUUGAAGCAGGACGCUUGACAGUUUCAGGAGGGCAGUUUGACUGGGGCGGUCACCUCCUAAAAGGUAACGGAGGUGUGCAAAGGUUCCCUCAGGCUGGACGGAAAUCAGCCGUAGAGUGUAAAGGCAGAAGGGAGCUUGACUGCAAGACCUACAAGUCGAGCAGGGGCGAAAGCCGGCCUUAGUGAUCCGACGGUUCCAUGUGGAAGGGCCGUCGCUCAACGGAUAAAAGUUACUCUAGGAUAACAGGCUGAUCUUCCCCAAGAGUUCACAUCGACGGGAAGGUUUGGCACCUCGAUGUCGGCUCAUCGCAACCUGGGGCGGUAGUACGUCCCAAGGGUUGGGCUGUUCGCCCAUGAAAGCGGUACGUGAGCUGGGUUCAGAACGUCGUGAGACAGUUCGGUCCAUAUCCGGUGUAGGCGUUAGAGCAUUGAGAGGAGUCUUCCAUAGUACGAGAGGACCUGGAAGAACACACCUCUGGUAUACCAGUUAUCAUGCCAAUGGUAGACGCUGGGUAGCCAUGUGUGGAGUGGAUAACCGCUGAAAGCAUCUAAGUGGGAAGCCCACCUCAAGAUGAGUGCUCUCCAUUAGGUCACAGGAAGACAACCUGUUUGAUAGGCAGAAGGUGUAAGGCUAGUAAUAGUUUCAGCUGAUCUGUACUAAUAGACCGAUUGAUUUU
rnacentral:rRNA from 1 species